rnacentral:rRNA from 1 species
UUGACGGAGAGUUUGAUCCUGGCUCAGGACGAACGCUGGCGGCGUGCUUAAUACAUGCAAGUCGAACGCUCUCGACCUUCGGGUCAUAUGAGAGAGUGGCGAACGGGUGCGUAACACGUGAGAAACCUACCCCAAAGACGGGAAUAGCCCGAGGAAACUCGGAUUAAUACCCGAUAUCUUCACACAGCCGCAUGGUUGAGUGAAGAAAGUUCAGGCGCUUUGGGAGGGUCUCGCGGCCUAUCAGCUUGUUGGUGAGGUAACGGCUCACCAAGGCAUCGACGGGUAGCUGGUCUGAGAGGACGAUCAGCCACACUGGGACUGAGACACGGCCCAGACUCCUACGGGAGGCAGCAGUGGGGAAUCUUGCGCAAUGGGCGAAAGCCUGACG